UCAGCAGAGAGAAUGGGCUACUUGAGGACAGUGGAAGACUUCCAGUAAUUAAAGCUUAGAGUCAGUCUUUUUUUUUUUUAACUAAAGUUACUAAAGAAACAUUCGUGAUCAAGAGACAUUGUUCUGUGAAAACUUGUAGGGACUGUGCAAAUCCAGAAUACCAUAUCACUUCCGUACCCAUCAAUCCCAAGAAUAUUCUGUGGUUUUGCAUCUUUUAUAGAAGAGAAUAUUAGAAAAUGUUUUCUGAAAUUACUUCAAUAAUGAAAUAAGAAUUAACCCAUACAAAGACAUUAUAUCAAAUUUCACAUAGCCUUGGAGGAUUUAGUUAAUAAUUUUAAAAUAUUGGCAAAUACACAUA
rnacentral:lncRNA from 1 species